GAAACAGACUGCAGGACAUCCUUGGCUGAGGGAGCCCUGCCCAACUCAGAUCACUGUGGUCACCGGCAUGGCAGAGAGGCUCUGGGUGUCGGGAUGUUCACAGGAGGCCCAAGGACUGUUUGAGAUUCCAUUGAUCCUGAAGGCAGUGGACAGCUGCUUUUCAACAGGAGAGUGAAGUGCUCAGACUGGGGGACGGUUCAAGGAAUUUUAAAAAUGUGAACGCUGAGACACUUUGAAGACAGUCAUGACUAUGGCCUUUGUGAGGGGUGACCUCUUGUGCUAUCCCUGUUGGAAGUUUGCUUCCUAGAACAUCUGGGAAUAGGAUUAUUGCUGACGCAAGACGAUAAAGAAUGAAGGAGAGGUCAGGAGUUCAAGACAAGCCUGGCCAACAUGGCGAAACCCUAUCUCCACUAAAAAUACAAACAUUAGCCGGGCGUGGUGGUGCAUGCCUUUAGUCCCAGCUACUUGGGAAGCUGAGGCAGGAGAAUCGCUUGAACCUGGGAGGUGGAGGUUGCACAGCCUUGGUGACAGAAGGAGACUCAGUCUCAAAACAAAAGGAAUGAAGCUUAAAGUAUUUUCAGAAAUCUGAGGGGAACAUCACCUGUGCUUUAUUGGUUAUUUUGACAAGUGAAAUAGAGGACAAACUGCUUUGAUUUGAGUUGAUGUCUACACAUGUGAACUCAUGAGAAACAGCAAAGCCCACAAUCCACAUGGACAUCAUCAUCGUUCGGGAACAGGCAUGGUCUCCAUUCUUUCCAUGCACACGCCCCGGCUUCAAAAA
rnacentral:lncRNA from 1 species